rnacentral:lncRNA from 1 species
CAGACCGAGUUCGUGUCUAGUCAAAGUUAUAAAAUCGAUAGCUUCAUCUUAUGUAACCAAUCAAUAGCGUUAGAACAGACCUCUUUUAAACUCAUGGUGUGAAUGAAUUAACCAGCUGUUUGGCUGAAUUGACUGAGCUGUUUCUACUAUAAUGUGGACACAGUCUGAGAGUGAGUGAAAUGUUAGCAGGUCUUUGACUUUUUCUAGUCCAAAGAAAGAGAAAGCAAAAGAAGUGAAGCACAUAUAAUACAAGGGAAUGAUGAGGCAGGCAGCAAUCAGUAGCCUACUGACAGGUACCAAGUACAAUACUCGAUUUCACAGGAACUCCUCUCUAUUUCGAAAGUAAUUUUAAAAUAAAGAAAUGUUGAGCAGAGACAACAUGAGGAAGAUGAAGAAAAAGGCUAACUUUAAAGAAAACUACACACCCAGAGAUGCUCUCCUGAGGCCCAGACCACCACGGCCAGUCAUGGGGGAGGAGUGGCGUUGGCGAUUCAGGACUGCUUUUUCCCUCUUCAGUGCCUCUCUCAACAACAUGAAGGUAAAACCAGAUACUGUGCGUGCUCACCUGAUUUUUGGUUCUUGAUGGUGUCUUUUUCUUUGUAGAUAGUUGUUAAGUUGGCAUCCUUGAGAGGGGAACAAUCAGUGGAAACUUCUACUCUGCCAUCUUCUUCCACCUCCCCUGAUUUGAUUUUUAAUAGAUACAUGCCUAUCCCUUAAAUUUCUUUUGUAAGCCUAUUUUCCUUUGUAACAAGAAAUAACUAUGUAUUUAUUGAGAAAUUGUGUCUUUUAAGGAAUUGGUCUAUUUUAUCUAAGUUUUCCCAGUACUUUUAUUUCUAAUGUUAGUAAUUGGUAUCAUCUCUAUUCUUAGCUUUUCAAUUUUUUCAUCUUUUCAAAGAACCAUCUUUUGGUUUUCUCUAUUGAUUUCCUGUUUUUAAUUUCAUUGAUUUCUGCUCUAAUUUUUAUUAUUUCUUUUCUUCUGC